rnacentral:rRNA from 1 species
UACGUAGGGUGCAAGCGUUGUCCGGAAUUAUUGGGCAUAAAGAGCUCGUAGGUGGUUUGUCGCGUUGUUCGUGAAAACUCACAGCUUAACUGUGGGCGUGCGGGCGAUACGGGCAGACUGGAGUACUGCAGGGGAGACUGGAAGUUCCUGGUGUAGCGGUGGAAUGCGCAGAUAUCAGGAGGAACACCGGUGGCGAAGGCGGGUCUCUGGGCCGUAACUGACGCUGAGGAGCGAAAGCAUGGGGAGCGAACAGG